AUGACGACCACUUUAUGGGCUAUAUGGGCGGCAAGAAGAAAGGCGAUUUAUGAAGAUAUAUUUCAGAGCCCAUACUCCACUCAUUGCUUUGUCAAUUCCUUCCUGAAUGACAUCCAACUUGUCAAGCAACCAGAGAGAACAGCAGUGCAUCCAGUGCAGGUGAGGCCAACAUGUUGGAUCAAACCUCCCCCAGGCUUGAUGAAAGUGAAUGUUGAUGCGGCCACUAUGAGAAGAUCGAGAUUUGGGGCAAUUGUUGCGGUGUGCAGGAAUGACGAGGGUUUGUAUCUUGGUGCGCCGGCUAUAGUUUUUAAUGGCAUUCGUGACCCAGCCACCCUCGAGGCUUUGGCAGUCCGGGAAGCAAUGGCACUUGCAGAAGAUCUCCAUAUACACGCAAUACACGUUGCAACGGACUGCAAAGGUGUGGUGGAAGAUAUCAAGCGAAAAACAGUCCUACCUAUGGGGCUAUUAUACAUGAGAUAG
rnacentral:rRNA from 1 species